rnacentral:rRNA from 1 species
ACCACCAAGUUCUGCAAGAGUUUACCACCUUAGACCUACCGGGGGUAUCUAAUCCCGUUUUGCGCCNUAGGGCUUCGUCCCNUCACUGUCGGAUUCGUUCUAGGUGAACGCCUUUCGCCACUGGUGGUCCCCCCCGGAUUACAGGAUUUUACCCCUACCCCGGGAGUACCUUCACCCUCUCCCGAUCCCAAGCCGAGCAGUGUCUCUGGCGUUCGGACCGUUGGGCGGCCCGAUUUACCCGGAGAUUUGCCCGGCCAGCUACGGACGCUUUAGGCUCAAUAAUAAUGAGCACCACUCGGGCCGCGGGUAUUACCGCGGCGGCUGGCACCCGUCUUACCCGGCCCUUACUUCUCGAGCUUUUUAGGCUCGAGAACAGACUACACAUAGUGUAGACACUUGGAGUUCCCCCAUCGUGGUUGCCCACAUUGUGGAGGUUUCGCGCCUGCUGCGUCCCGUAGGACCUGGAUUCGUGUCUCAGAAUCCAUCUCCGGGCGACUUCUCCCAAAGCCCGUACCCGUCUAUGGCUAGGGGGUCCGUGAAACCCCCUACUACCUGAUAGGCCGCAGACCCAUCCUCGAGCCCCGCAGGGUUUGGGCCUGAGGGCCUUCCAUCAUCUCAGACCUAUCGGGUAUUAUCCCCAGUUUCCCGGGGUUAUCCCCGUCUCGAGGGCAGAUUGUCCACGUGUUACUGANCACGUAAGGGCGAAUUCCAGCACACUGGCGGCCGUUACUAGUGGAUCCGAGCUCGGUACCGAAGCU